rnacentral:lncRNA from 13 species
AUGGAGAGAAAGAGAGGUUCUGAUGUGCUGACUAUAGUAGCGGAGCCAAGCAAAUCCAACCUGUCUGUCUGCUUGCUUGCCUGCCUGCUUGCUUGCCUGCCUGCCUGCGUAUGUGAGUGUGUAGCCUGUCUGUCUNNNNNNNNNNNCUUUAACCAUCCGAGAGGAAUCCUCUCAGUUCCUUAUUUACACUACGACAAGGAGUAUCCUCUGAGUUCCUUAUUUACACUACAACAAGGAGUAUCCUCAGUUCCUUAUUUACACUACAACAAGGAGUAUCCAUUUACACUACAACAAGGAAUAUCCUCAGUUCCUUAUUUACACUACAACAAGGAGUAUCCUCAGUUCCUUAUUUACACUACAACAAGGAGUAUCCAUUUACACUACAACAAGGAGUAUCCUCUGAGUUCCUUAUUUACACUACAACAAGGAGUAUCCUCAGUUCCUUAUUUACAAUACAACAAGGACAAGUAUUUUUCAACACAACUACAAAGACUGUCACAGGGAGACUUUAUAUGGUCUAAAUUAACAUUGACUGCCAUUGCAGUGGGAGUUAGUGGUGUGUGUGUGUUGGUUUGUGUGGAUGUGUGCGUCUGUGUGUUGGUUUGUGUAGAUCUCUGUGUGUGUGUGUGUGUGUGUGUGUGUGUUUUACAGGUCGACCGAUUAAUUGGACGAUUUAAAACAUUUUUUUUAACAUUAAUUUGUAAUAAUGACAAUUACAACAAUACUGAAUGAACACUUAUUUUAACUUAAUAUAAUACAUCAAUAAAAAUCUAUUUAGCCUCAAAUAAAUAAUGAAACAUGUUCAAUUUGGUUUAAAUAAUGCACAAACAAAGUGUUGGAGAAGAAAGUAAAAGUGCAAUAUGUGCCAUGUAAGAAAGCUACAGAACAUGAGAACAUAUGAAAGCUGGUGGUUCCUUUUAACACGAGUCUUCAAUAUUCCCAGGUAAGAAGUUUUAGGUUGUAGGUAAUAUAGUAUUUAUUUAACUAUUUCUCUCUAUACCGUUUGUAUUUCAUAUACCUUUGAUUUUUGGAUGUUCUUAUAGGCAGGUUGUUCCCCAUGCAGAGCAAGGGGGACAACUACUCCAAGUCUCAGAGCGAGUGACGUUUGAAAUGCUAUUAGCGCGCACACCGCUAACUAGCUAGCCAUUUCACAUCAGUUACACCAGCCUAAUCUCGGGAGUUGAUAGGCUUGAAGUCAUAAACAGCGCAAUGCUUGAAGCAUUGCGAAGAGCUGCUGGCAAAACGCACAAAUGUGCUGUUUGAAUGAAUGCUUACAAGCCUGCUGGUGCCUACCAUCGCUCAGUCAGACUGCUCUAUCAAAUCAUAGACUUAAUUAUAACAUAAUAACACACAGAAAUACGAGCCUUUGGUCAUUAAUAUGGUCGAAUCCGGAAACUAUAAUUUCAACAACGUUUAUUCUUUCAGUGAAAUACGGAACCGUUCUGUAUUUUAUCUAACGGUUGGCAUCCCUAAGUCUAAAUAUUGCUGUUACAUUGCAGUCGAGAGAGAGAGCGAGAGAGCGAGAGAGNNNNNNNNNNNNNNNNNNNNNNNNNNNNNNNNNNNNNNNNNNNNNNNNNNNNNNNNNNNNNNNNNNNNNNNNNNNNNNNNNNNNNNNNNNNNNNNNNNNNAGGACUCCAAUUGUUUUCUUGCUGGGCCAAAACUCCAACCUUCUUUUGCUGCGCCAGGACUCCAACCUUUUCUUGCUGGGCCAGGACUCCAACCUUUUCUCGCUGGGCCAGGACUCCAACCUUUUCUUGCUGGGCCAGGACUCCAACCUUUUCUUGCUGGGCCAGGACUCCAACCUUCUCUUGAUGGGCCAGGACUUCAACUGGAAGAAGCUACUGGUUCCUGGUAUUUAUGAAUGCGGCUCAAGGCGUUUGGGAAUCAUGGUUUCAUCAGCCUGUCGUCAGCGCCGUUCAUGACGCACACCUGUCAUCAGCGGUACGCGCAUUUGUCGCAUUGACACUCACCUGAACUCCAUCACCUCCUUGAUUACCUGCCCUUUAUAAGUCCCUCCCUUUGGUUCCUUCCCCAGGAGUCAUUGUUUCUGUGUCUGUUUCAUGUCGGUGUGGCUGUUUCGUGUUUCUUGUUUUGUUCAUUUAUUAAUUAAACGUAGUCACUCCCUGAACUUGAUUCCCCGACUCUCGGCGUACAUCGUUACAGAAUGAUGACUCAACAAAGGGAAGCAUCAGGGAGUGUUAUUUAAAGCACACUAAAGUUUGUCUAUUGUUGUAACCUAGAUGAAGAUCAGAUCGAAUGUGAUGACCAAUUCAUGCAGAAAUCCAGGUAAUUCCAAAGGGUUCACAUACUUUUUCUUGCCACUGUAUCUACCAGAGUCAACAUCAACAUGUAACUCUACUACAGCAUGAUCUGUGAGGACGAUGAUCCCAAUCUGGCAACCAAUCACACUAUUAACCAGGAAAUUAGAUAUCAAGAUUAAAUCUAUUCUGGAAUGUUUAUUAAUGACAGUGGGAGAAUAACGUAUAUUCUCUAUCAUUAGGAUGGACUGAUCUCCAUAUGUCUGUAAGGCCCAUUUCUUCUGCUAGCGUAUGUAUUGCAAGUGCCAGGUUUCCUCCAGACAUGACACUUGGCAUUCAGACCAAAUAGUUCAAUGUUGGUUUCAUCAGCCCAGAGAAUCUUGUUUUUCAUGGUCUGAGAGUCCUUUUAGGUGCUUUUUGGCAAACUCCAAGGGGGCUGUUACUGAGGAGUGGCUUCCAUCUGACCACUCUAACAUAAAGGCCUGAUUGGUGGAUUGCUGCAGAGAUGGUUGUCCUUCUGGAAGGUUCUCACAGAGGAACUCUGGAGCUCUGUCACAGUGAUCAUCGGGUUCUUGAAUGAUGACAACUACAGUUGUAUAGAAUUACAACUAGAAAUACAGUUGUAUAGAAUUACAACUAGAACUACAGUUGUAUAGAAUUACAACUAGAACUACAGAACUACAACUACAGUUUUAUAGAAUUACAACUAGAACUACAGUUGUAUAGAAUUACAACUAGAACUACAGUUUUAUAGAAUUACAACUAGAACUACAGUUGUAUAGAAUUACAACUAGAACUACAGUUGUAUAGAAUUACAACUAGAACUACAGAACUACAACUACAGUUUUAUAGAAUUACAACUAGAACUACAGUUGUAUAGAAUUACAACUAGAACUACAGUUGUAUAGAAUUACAACUAG